AGGGUUGUAGUUAAAUAUAACAUUUGAUUUG
rnacentral:tRNA from 1 species